rnacentral:rRNA from 1 species
UGAAUAUACCGGUUCUCGUUAGAUCACCGAAGUUAAGCAUCAUUGGGCGCGGUCAGUACUUGGGUGGGUGACCACCUGGGAAAACUGCAUGCCGU